CGUAGGGGGCGAGCGUUGUCCGGAUUUACUGGGCGUAAAGCGCGCGUAGGCGGAAGAUUAAGCGUGGCUUGAAAGCCCCCGGCUCAACCGGGGAAGGUGGCUGCGAACUGGUCUUCUUGAGGGCGAUAGAGGGGGGCGGAAUUCCUGGUGUAGCGGUGAAAUGCGUAGAGAUCAGGAGGAACACCCGUGGCGAAGGCGGCCCCCUGGGUCGGCCCUGACGCUGAGGCGCGAAAGCGUGGGGAGCGAACGGGAUUAGAUACCCCGGUAGUCCACGCCGUAAACGAUGGUCACUAGGUGUGUGCGGUAUCGACCCCGCACGUGCCGCAGCUAACGCAAGAAGUGACCCGCCUGGGGAUACGGCGCAAGGUUG
rnacentral:rRNA from 1 species